UACAGCCAUAUCACUUUGAAACCCCGAUUCCCGUACGAUCACCGAGGUUAAGCAACGUCGAACCUGGUCAGUACCUAGAUGGGUGACCGUUUGGGAAUAUCAGUUGUUGUAAG